rnacentral:rRNA from 1 species
AACGAACGCUGGCGGCGCGUCUUAAGCAUGCAAGUCGAACGAUAUUUUGUUGUUUUCUUCGGAAAGUAGCAUAAGAAAGUGGCGAACGGGUGAGUAACGCGUGGAUAAUCUACCUUGAGGAUUGGGAUAGCUGAUGGAAACAUCAGGUAAUACCAAAUAUUCUCUUGUUCAUAAGAUAGAGGAAGCGCAAUUGCGUCACCUUUAGAUGAGUCUGCGUCCUACUAGCUUGUUGGUGAGGUAAUGGCUUACCAAGGCAAUGAUAGGUAGCCGGCCUGAGAGGGUGAUCGGCCACACUGGGACUGAGAUACUGCCCAGACUCCUACGGGAGCAGCAGCUAAGAUCUUCCGCAAUGAGCGAAAGCUUGACGGAGCGACGCCGCGUGUGUGAUGAAGGCCGUGAGGUUGUAAAAC